rnacentral:rRNA from 1 species
GUUUAACCUGCCCACUGAUUUUUAAAGGGCCGCGGUAUACUAACCGUGCUAAGGUAGCAUAAUCAAUAGUCUUUUAAUUAAAGACUUGAAUGAAUGGUUGGACGAGAAAUUAACUGUCUUAUAUGUAAAAAUUGAAUUUUACUUUUAAGUGAAAAGGCUUAAAUAGAGUUAGGGGACGAUAAGACCCUAUGAAGCUUUAUGUUUAUUAAUUAAGAAUUGAUAAUUUUGGGUUGAUAUAAUUCAUAAUUAUCUACAUUUAGCUGGGGCGGCUGUAAUAUAAAUAUUUUAUAUAACUGUUAAAAAUAAAAAAUAGAUUUAUUUAGUUUAUAUGAUCCUUUAAUAAGGAUUAAAAGAUUAAAGUUACUCUAGGGAUAACAGCGUAAUUUUUCUUGAGAGUCCAUAUCGACAGAAAUAGUUGCGACCUCGAUGUUGAAUUAAAAUUUCUUCAGGGUGUAGAAGUUCUGAUAGUAGGUCUGUUC